AUUGAACGCUGGCGGCAGGCCUAACACAUGCAAGUCGAGCGGUAGCACAGGAGAGCUUGCUCUCUGGGUGACGAGCGGCGGACGGGUGAGUAAUGUCUGGGAAACUGCCUGAUGGAGGGGGAUAACUACUGGAAACGGUAGCUGAUACCGCAUAAUGUCGCAAGACCAAAGAGGGGGGCCUUCGGGCCUCUUGCCAUCAGAUGUGCCCAGAUGGGAUUAGCUAGUAGGUGGGGUAACGGCUCACCUAGGCGACGAUCCCUAGCUGGUCUGAGAGGAUGACCAGCCACACUGGAACUGAGACACGGUCCAGACUCCUACGGGAGGCAGCAGUGGGGAAUAUUGCACAAUGGGCGCAAGCCUGAUGCAGCCAUGCCGCGUGUAUGAAGAAGGCCUUCGGGUUGUAAAGUACUUUCAGCGAGGAGGAAGGCAUUGUGGUUAAUAACCACAGUGAUUGACGUUACUCGCAGAAGAAGCACCGGCUAACUCCGUGCCAGCCGCCGCGGUAA
rnacentral:rRNA from 1 species